rnacentral:rRNA from 1 species
GAUGAACGCUAGCGGCAGGCCUAACACAUGCAAGUCGAGGGAGAAGCCCUUUCGGGGGCCGAAACCGGCGCACGGGUGCGUAACGCGUAUGCAACCUACCUUUCACAGGGGGAUAGCCCGAAGAAAUUUGGAUUAAUACCCCAUAAUAUUAUUGGAUGGCAUCAUUUGAUAAUUAAAACUGCGGUGGUGAAAGAUGGGCAUGCGUCCUAUUAGCUAGUUGGAGUGGUAACGGCACCCCAAGGCUACGAUAGGUAGGGGUCCUGAGAGGGAGAUCCCCCACACUGGUACUGAGACAGGGACCAGACUCCUACGGGAGGCAGCAGUGAGGAAGAGUGGUCAAUGGUCGGAAGACUGAACCAGCCAUGCCGCGUGCAGGAAGAAUGCCUUAUGGGUUGUAAACUGCUUUUAUAUGGGAAGAAUAAGGCGUACGUGUACGUUGAUGACGGUACCAUAUGAAUAAGCAUCGGCUAACUCCGUG